rnacentral:rRNA from 1 species
UACGGGCUGGAAUUUCAUGACUUAGCUCCGGAGUCCAUCCUCCACAUUUCCUCAUUCAUCGUUGUGUGCGAAGCAUUCCUCCGCGUUACCCCUCACUUCGGAUUGUGGCUCAAGACUUUUGGAGUGGAGCCGAAGAUGAUCGAGGGAUGGCACACAGAGUGCGGAGGUGCUGUCAUAAGUAAGAAUGCUGAUGCUCCAUGGCCCGAGGGCUCCUUCCAAGAGGAGCUCGGCUUGUGGCAACGAGAAUGGUUCUAUAUCACCGCUCCCAGGAGCGCCAAGUGGGCGGAGCCUCCUGCCUUUCGCUCAGGUCCCCCAUCACGGCUAGCGUCAUGGGUCAACAAAGGAUUAGAUUGGGGUCUUCCCAAAGACGUGCCCCUGCUACAGGGCCGAAUUAAGGAUCUCUUGGAAGGAGACCUCAGUUUGGUUAAGGUGACGCGGGUCAUGCUGAUUCGC